rfam:Larimichthys crocea isolate SSNF unplaced genomic scaffold scaffold120, whole genome shotgun sequence.
CUUUCUAUUUUUUGUAAGUCGCUUUGGAUAAAAGUGCCUGCUAAAUGACUAAAU